UCCAAGUGUAUUCAUGAUUUUUUACAUCCAACGUUUAACCGUCCAUUUUAUUUGAAAUUUUAUCAUGAAUAGUAUUUUUAUUGUUAUUAUAUGAUAAAGCAUGAAUAAUACUUUAUGCCUGACUUAUUUUUUAAAGUUUUUUAAAUAAGACGAACAGUCAUAUAUUGGACACGAAAACCCACAACUGAACUUAAA
rfam:Oryza meridionalis cultivar OR44 (W2112) chromosome 4, whole genome shotgun sequence.